UCCCUGCAAAACCAUAACUGUUGUGUAAAUAUCUGCUUUGAUCGAAUUGUUUUUACUUGUAGCUCCGAGUAUAUUGAGAUUUCUAUUUGUGGUGCUAAACUAAACUGCUGAUUUUUCACAUUUAGUACUGGAAUUUAGUCUACCCAGAUCGGAGAUUUUUCACAUGCCUUUAGGUCACAAUGCCGGCUUCACCUGGAACUCACCAUUGGGUAGCACCUGUGGGCUUUCCGUAAAUCAAAGUUCUAUUACAAAUUUACAAUUUUAGGAGAAGAGAGUCCUAGUUAUCAGAGAUUUUUCUCCUGGUGACCAAUUUAAGGGUUAGUUAUGAAAUUUUAUGAGCAUCAGUUCUCUAUGUGCCAUAUCAGAUAUGGUUGUCAAAAUUUUAUGAGCAUCAGUUCUCUAUGUGCCAUAUCAGAUAUGGUUGUCAUAUGUGAGCUUUAUGCUGCAUUAAAACAUGCUAGUGAGUGUUCCAUUAUAGGCUUAAGAAAUCAUUUUAAGUUUAUAAUUCAUUCUUAGAUGUCUCCCCAACAUGAAUGUAUAUAUAAUGUUUCUGCUUUCCUUUAUGUGUUUUAAAUGGCUGUUAUCAAAUUGAUUGAUUUGCAAAUGUGUUAUGCACUACGUAGAGCCAUUAGGUGCCACUCUCUAGUAAGUAUUUUGCUCAUUCUUUAAUGUAGUUUGUAACUAUCAUUGAAACUGAAAUUUGAGACCUAGUCCUGUAAUGUUUCUUAGUACUUCUGAUACAGUUGUAAUACGUUCCGAAUUAUAUCGUUAUUGAUCCCUGUCUUCA